AUGAGGCAGGAGUCAGAGGUUCGGCAGAAUGUCAAGAAAACUGAGGCCAGCGACAUCAUCCAGUCACUGAGAGCCCAACUUCAAUUCACCCACAGCAGGGCUGGAAGACACAAGAUCCUACCUGGUGCUGAAAUGGGCACCAGGCUCUUCUAUGUGGCCCUUUGUCUGCUGUGGGCAGGACACGGGGAUGCUGAAAUCACUCAGAACCCAAGACACAAGAUCACAGAGACAGGAAGGCAGGUGACCUUGAAGUGUCACCAGACUUGGAACCACAACUAUAUGUACUGGUAUCGACAAGACCUGGGGCAUGGGCUGAGGCUGAUCCAUUACUCAGUUGCUGCUGAUGACACAGAGAAAGGAGAAGUCUUUGAUGGCUAUGUUGUCUCAAGAUCAAACCUAGAGGAUUUCUCCCUCACUCUGGAGUCGGCUACCCACUCCCAGACAUCUGUGUACUUCUGCGCCAGCAGUGACUCCACAGUGCUGCACAGCUGCCUCCUCUCUGCUCAUAAAGGGCAGUUAGAGAAACUGAGGUUGCCUAUGCUCCCAAGUCUGGGCCCCAACCCAGGAAGUCUCGGCCCCCAUAGGAGUCACAGAGCCCUGGCCAGCCUGGGGGUCUUGGACAGGGGCCAUAUGACCCUUUAGUGCUGCGGCUCUAUUCCUACCCCUGUC